UGGAAAAACUGGGAAGGAAGGGAGAGAUGAAGGAAGGAAGGAAACAAGGAAGGAUAAAGCUGCUGAAAGUAGGGCCAUUCCGAGGCCCACGCGAUUUUCGUGUCUCCCCCUCCCCUCCACCGAGGAUAAGGCCGGGGGGGGGGGAUGCGUUUAGCUGCAAGGAGAUCCGCGCGGCUUUCGUCUCUCAACGUGGAAUUUCGGGGGGGGGGGCGGAUUCUCAGAUCGCCGGAGCGGAGCUAACGACCUCGGGAGACGCGGAGCAUCGCCGCUUUAAGAGCCUCUCCGCGACGCCCAGUCGGCCUGGCAGAGAACCUCCGACCCCAGCGAGCAAUCCCGAGCGCUCAGCAGACCGUGCCAGACGCGGCGGCCCUUCGGUGAGUGACAGCACGCCAAGAGCCGUCGGGGUCCCCGCGGUAGAAAUUCCCAGAGUUCACCCGUGACCCCCGAAAGGGGAUACAUUUAAAAAAAAGGAGAAGAAGAAGAAGAAGAAACAGAAGGAGGAGUAGGGGUGUUGCACGGAAAGGUUUCUGCGUGAAGGAAAAACCGACACGUGAACGUUUGGAAGGGAAGCGAGAAUUUCGCUCUCCGAACCAAGCCGGGUCUCCCCCCCACCAAAAAA